ACGGCGGAGCCACCGGACGUUAACAACACGAGAGAAACUCCCGGGAAGGCCCCGCGAAGCCUCGGCGCCGGGACACUCACCUGCCCGGCGUACGCGCCCGGCUCCAGUGGCCUCCCCUCGUCGCCGAUCCAAGCCCUGCGGGGCAGCACGAUUUUAAUCACAACGAAAUAUCUCACCAAGGACCCCCUGCGCCUCCCUCGGUGUGGCCGCUCCCGGCGCCGCGGCAGCUCGGAGCCCCUGCAAAAGUCCGGGGGCCGUGGGGAGCGCCGAGGGGCCGCGGCACCCCCCGCAUCACCGGGGGACUCGGCCGGUAGCCGGCGAAGCCCUGUGGCCGGGGGACCCGCGGUGUGGAAGAGCUCGGCAGGCUCAUUCGAUGCGUCACCCGCCGGCACGGAGGCGAGGGGGCUCCGCGGAGCCGCUGGCCGCCCGUUACCGGCGGGAGAAACGAAAGAAAACGAAACGAAACGAAAGAAAACGAAGAACAACGAAAGGAAACACCGACGACCGCGGUAUCGCGCUCUCCACCCAGCCCCGCGUUACCGCGGUCCCGGCCUGCCCGCCCGGCCCGGCCCGGUCCGCCCCGACUGGGCCUGGCGGUCGCGGGCAGCGGGGCCCGAUCCGGCGGCGGCGGCGAAGCGCGCUUUUCCCUGUGCGAACGCGUGUCGCACCGGCUGCGGCGAGCUGGGCCGGUCUGCAGAUUGGCCGGUCGCGGGGUUAUUUGCGGGGGCACCGGCGGGAGGGACCGGGGGUGCAGGGGGAUGCAGAGGGGGUCGGCUACGUGUACGUCGCAUGGCUACGGUCCGUCCGGGACGGCGGGGUCGCCGUCGGCUCCGGGAGGGGUGCGGGGUGGCGGAGGCGAACCUCCCCCUCCGCUACGCGUCCUGGGCCGCGGGAGGCACUUGCGGGGCCGUGCUGGUGGGGCGGGGAGGCCGGGCCGGCGGAGCCGCACAUGUCGGCCCUUGCCGGGGUCGGACCGAGCUGUGUGCGGGCAGGGGCCAGCGGGGUCCGCCGGGGAGGGGGUCCCUACCUACCUACACGUGCUUAGCACUGGGGGGCGCGGCGGCGGCUGCCGCGGCUCUCUGCGGGGACCCCGACCCCGGCGCACCGUCCCCGCGCCCGCCGGGCGGGUGCCGGGCCGGCGGGGCGCUCUACGGGGAAGCAGCCUCCCCGAGUGCAGCCUUAAUACAUUGCUAUUUCUGGCCGGGCGGCCGGAGCCGGGCAGGGGGCCGGCUCUGCCUCCCCCUCCCUCCAAUGGCGAGGCCGCCCCCGGCCCCUCCUUGCCGUGACGUGCCGGCCCGGGGCAGAGGAGGCUCCCGAGCCUUUGGCUGUCCCUGCAGAAGCUGUAACAAAACGCAGACCCCCAGCGCUGAGCUAAUGGAGGCAACUUAG
rnacentral:lncRNA from 13 species